rnacentral:rRNA from 1 species
UUCCCUAGUACGGCGAGUGAACCGGGAAGAGCUCAAAUUUGAAAUCUGGCGUGCUCAGUGCGUCCGAGUUGUAAUCUAUAGAGUCGUUUUCCGUGCCGGACUGUGUCCAAGUCCCUUGGAACAGGGUAUCAAAGAGGGUGAUAAUCCCGUACUUGACACAAUGACCGGUGCUCUGUGAUACGUCUUCUACGAGUCGAGUUGUUUGGGAAUGCAGCUCAAAAUGGGUGGUGAGUUCCAUCUAAAGCUAAAUAUUGGCGAGAGACCGAUAGCGAACAAGUACCGUGAGGGAAAGAUGAAAAGCACUUUGGAAAGAGAGUUAAACAGUACGUGAAAUUGUUAAAAGGGAAACGAUUGAAGUCAGUCGUGACUGAGAGGCUCAGCCGGUUCUGCCGGUGUAUUCCCCUCAGUCGGGUCAACAUCAGUUUUGUUCGGUGGAUAAGGGCAGUUGGAAGGUGGCACCCUCGGGUGUGUUAUAGCCAGCUGUCGCAUACAUCGGAUGAGACUGAGGAAUGCAGCUCGCCUUUAUGGCCGGGGUUCGCCCACGUUCGAGCUUAGGAUGUUGACAUAAUGGCUUUAAACGACCCGUCUUGAAC